AUUGAACGCUGGCGGCAGGCCUAACACAUGCACGUCGAACGAGUGGCGGACGGGUGAGUAAUGUCUGGGCAACUGCCCGAUGGAGGGGGCUAACUACUGGCAACGGUAGCUAAUACCGCAUACCCUCUGAUGUGCCCAGAUGGGAUUAGCUAGUAGGUUGGGUAACGGCUCACCUAGUCGACGAUCCCUAGCUGGUCUGAGAGGAUGACCAGACACACUGGAACGGCGACACGGUCCAGACUCCUACGGGAGGCAGCAGUGGGGAAUAUUGCACAAUGGGCGCAAGCCUGAUGCAGCCAUGCCGCGUGUAUGAAGAAGGCCUUCGGGUUGUAAAGUACUUUCAGCGAGGAGGCGUUACGCGCAGAAGAAGAACCGGCUAACGCCGUGCCAGCAGCCGCGGUAAGAC
rnacentral:rRNA from 1 species